UCUUGCUGUUGAAGAUACUCCUUCAAAACCCAUACGCUGCUUUGUGAACGCUUUAACAGUGUAAAGUCAUUGCUUAUCUGUGUGGAGUGUGGUUUUUGUAAGGGAACAAUAUACUGUGCUGCACAGGCUACAGAUCCACUGAUUAUGGGCAAUGGAACCAUGCUCACUGUGAACCCCAAAGAUACAACACGCAAGACUCCUUCCCUGUUUGUAUUCACCCCUCCGAAUAUAGGGGAUCCAGCAGCAUGUGUGGCCACUGGAUUCUUUCCAGAAAAAUUGGAAAUUUCCAUGAAGAUUGGUGACACAGUCUCAAAUGUAACCUCGAAUGAUAAAGCCGUGCUGUCCCUGAAUGAUAAAACCUACAACUUUGCCACCUUCAUGACUGUCAAGGAAAAAGUUGAGGAAGUCAUAUGUGAAGCAGACGGAAAGAUAAAAGAAUCCAUCAAGAAUGAAAAAUCAACUGAUGAAGCAGGUGUCAUCUCUGCCCAAAACUGUGAAAGAAAUGACACAUUCACUGUUCAGAAGAGGGUGACUGUUGAAAACAUACAGCUCAAUUUCAAGUCCCUGACUGUGCAAGGUUUGAGAGUGAUGUUUGUUAAAACUGUGACCUUCAAUUUUCUGAUGACGGCCCGAGCCUUGAUGUUCUGAGGUCUGGGACUGAGAUACAGGUGACUGCAAAGCACAGAGGGAGCUGUUGGAAUUGAAAUUGCUUUUAUAUUGCAUUGCUUCUAGUUAUGUUUUUGAAAAUAUA